rnacentral:rRNA from 1 species
GAUGAACGCUAGCGGCAGGCUUAAUACAUGCAAGUCGAGGGGUCAGCAAUGACACCGGCGGACGGGUGCGUAACGCGUAUGCAACCUACCUACAUCAGGGGGAUAGCCCUAGGAAACUGGGAUUAACACCGCAUAAUAGUAUUAAUGGCAUCAUUGAUAUUUGAAAUAUUUAUAGGAUGUAGACGGGCAUGCGUAAGAUUAGCUAGUUGGUAAGGUAACGGCUUACCAAGGCUACGAUCUUUAGGGGCUCUGAGAGGAGUAUCCCCCACACUGGCACUGAGAUACGGGCCAGACUCCUACGGGAGGCAGCGGUAGGGAAUAUUGGGCAAUGGAGGCAACUCUGACCCAGCCAUGCCGCGUGCAGGAAGACGGCCCUCUGGGUUGUAAACUGCUUUUGAAUGGGAAGAAUGUGAUGUUUGCGAGCAUUAAUGACGGUACCAUUAGAAUAAGCCACGGCUAACUACAUGCCAGCCGCCGCGGUAAGAC